rnacentral:tRNA from 2 species
AAUUAAUUAGCUUAAGAAAAGCAUAUGUUUUGAAAACAUAUUAAAGAUGUUAAAUUCAUCUAUUAAUUU